UGCAUGUAUAUCUGUGACUGAAAAACAUUAUGUAAACUAUGCUCAUCUCACAAAUUGGUUGCAGCACUGUGGGGGCUGCAGGGUGGCUUUGCCAGUAGGAAGGGCGGAAAUUCCUGAAGAUGUAUUCAUCCAUGCUGCAUCAGCUGCUUGGUGUUUUCAUGGCAUCUCUGCACAUGUGCUGGGUUGAUCUUAAGCAGAAAACCAGAAGCGGCAGUGGUCUCCAGUAGAGACCCAAGGACCCCAAGCUCUCUGUGACACAAACAGGAAGGGCACUGUGGUGCAUUGAAAACCUGCGCCAGUAGUGCAUUACCAGUGCACUAUGCUGCUGUUUCAUCAAGGAGAAAGGAGGUGACCACCCUCAGAGGAACUUCAUGCUCUACAGUAUGCUUUUGAGUGUCACGUGGAGAAGUGUGGAAGGCGUUCCUCCAUGGAAGAGCGGUGACCGGAGCUUGAGCUGAUACCUGGCAGACAAGCUGGAUGUCAUUGCAACUGGUGGCGUAAGGAGAAGACAACAAGAUGCUUGUGUGGUUGUGCGUGCCGGGACUUGAUUGCGUCUUUUCUC
rnacentral:lncRNA from 1 species